rnacentral:rRNA from 1 species
GAUGAACGCUGGCGGCGCGCCUAACACAUGCAAGUCGAACGAUUAAAGCACCUUCGGGUGUGUAUAAAGUGGCGAACGGCUGUGUAACACGUGGGCAACCUGCCCCUCUCAUUGGGAUAGCCACGGGAAACCGUGGAUAAUACCGAAUACUUCGAGUCUCCCGCAUGGAAGACUCGAGAAAGCUCCGGCGGAGAGGGAUGGGCCCGCGGCCUGUUAGCUUGUUGGUGGGGUAACGGCCUACCAAGGCAAUGAUGGGUAGCUGGGUUGAGAGACCGACCAGCCAGAUUGGGACUGAGACACGGCCCAGACUCCUACGGGAGGCAGCAGUGGGGAGUCUUGCACAAUGGGCGAAAGCCUGAUGCAGCGACGCCGCGUGCGGGAUGAAGGCCUUCGGGUUGUAAACCGCUUUCAGCAGGGACGAGGCGAAAGUGACGGUACCUGCAGAAGAAGCCCCGGCUAACUACGUGCCAGCAGCCGCGGUAAUACGUAGGGGGCAAGCGUUAUCCGGAUUCAUUGGGCGUAAAGCGCUCGUAGGCGGUCUGUUAGGUCGGGAGUUAAAUCCGGGGGCUCAACCCCCGUUCGCUCCCGAUACCGGCAGACUUGAGUUUGGUAGGGGAGGGUGGAAUUCCUAGUGUAGCGGUGGAAUGCGCAGAUAUUAGGAAGAACACCAGUGGCGAAGGCGGCCUUCUGGGCCAUAACUGACGCUGAGGAGCGAAAGCUAGGGGAGCAAACAGG